UCUUUGCAGUUGAGAUAAGAGGAAGGCAUCUGUCUCCUGCUCGUCCCUGGGCAAUGGAAUGUCUCGGUGUAAAACCCGAUUGUAUGUUCCAUCUACUGAGAUGGGGAAAACCGCCUUAGGGCUGGAUGUGGGACAUGCUGGCAGCAAUACUGCUCUUUAAGGCAUUGAGAUGUUUAUGUGUAGCCAUGGACGUUCACAGAGGAUUCAGUACCUUUCUGUCUAGUAGUCGCUUGUGCAUGAAUUUAUUUAUUCUGUUUGGUAUAUGUUGUGCUUCCCAUAACUGUGGUUUCAUUUCUUAGCUUCAAAAAUUCUCAGCUCUUAGGUCUCUAAGCACUUUGGCUCUCCUUUAUUUUCUUUUUUCUUUCCUUCUAGGACUUCAGUCUUUAUUUUAACCCCGUCUUUUAACCUUUUAUAUUUUCCAUUUGCUUAUUCUCUGUAUUGCUUUCUGGA
rnacentral:lncRNA from 1 species